GCGUGAGCAACCUACCUUAGUUACUGGGAUAGCCCGAGGAAACUCGGAUUAAUACCGGAUAUUCUUAUUUAAUCACAUGAUUUUUUAAGGAAAGGUCAGCCGAACUAAGAUGGGCUCGCGUUCUAUCAGCUAGUUGGUAGGGUAAUGGCCUACCAAGGCUACGACGGAUAGCUGGUCUGAGAGGACGAUCAGCCACACUGGGACUGAGACACGGCCCAGACUCCUACGGGAGGCUGCAGCAGGGAAUAUUGCGCAAUGAGCGAAAGCUUGACGCAGCGACACCGCGUGUGGGAUGACGGAUCUAGGUUUGUAAACCAUUUUCAGGAGGGAAGAAAAU
rnacentral:rRNA from 1 species